ACGGGUGAGUAACACGUGGGAACGUGCCCUUCGGUUCGGAAUAACUCAGGGAAACUUGAGCUAAUACCGGAUACGCCCUUAUGGGGAAAGGUUUACUGCCGAAGGAUCGGCCCGCGUCUGAUUAGCUUGUUGGUGGGGUAACGGCCUACCAAGGCGACGAUCAGUAGCUGGUCUGAGAGGAUGAUCAGCCACACUGGGACUGAGACACGGCCCAGACUCCUACGGGAGGCAGCAGUGGGGAAUAUUGGACAAUGGGCGCAAGCCUGAUCCAGCCAUGCCGCGUGAGUGAUGAAGGCCUUAGGGUUGUAAAGCUCUUUUGUCCGGGACGAUAGUGACGGUACCGGAAGAAUAAGCCCCGGCUAACCUCGUGCCAGCAGCCGCGGUAAUACGAAGGGGGCUAGCGUUGCUCGGAAUCACUGGGCGUAAAGGGCGCGUAGGCGGCCGAUUAAGUCGGGGGUGAAAGCCUGUGGCUCAACCACAGAAUUGCCUUCGAUACUGGUUGGCUUGAGACCGGAAGAGGACAGCGGAACUGCGAGUGUAGAGGUGAAAUUCGUAGA
rnacentral:rRNA from 1 species